AGAUGGACCUGCGUUGUAUUAGCUAGUUGGUGAGGUAACGGCUCACCAAGGCGACGAUACAUAGCCGACCUGAGAGGGUGAUCGGCCACACUGGGACUGAGACACGGCCCAGACUCCUACGGGAGGCAGCAGUAGGGAAUCUUCGGCAAUGGGGGCAACCCUGACCGAGCAACGCCGCGUGAGUGAAGAAGGUUUUCGGAUCGUAAAGCUCUGUUGUAAGAGAAGAACGUGUGUGAGAGUGGAAAGUUCACACAGUGACGGUAACUUACCAGAAAGGGACGGCUAACUACGUGCCAGCAGCCGCGGUAAUACGUAGGUCCCGAGCGUUGUCCGGAUUUAUUGGGCGUAAAGCGAGCGCAGGCGGUUUAAUAAGUCUGAAGUUAAAGGCAGUGGCUUAACCAUUGUUCGCUUUGGAAACUGUUAGACUUGAGUGCAGAAGGGGAGAGUGGAAUUCCAUGUGUAGCGGUGAAAUGCGUAGA
rnacentral:rRNA from 1 species